rnacentral:tRNA from 1 species
GGAAGAGAGCCAGUGUGGUGUAGUGGUUUAGAGCGAUAGACUCGUAAUCUAGGGAACUGGGUUCGUGUCUCCGCUCCUCCA